rnacentral:rRNA from 1 species
AUUGAACGCUGGCGGCAGGCCUAACACAUGCAAGUCGAGCGGAUGAAGGGAGCUUGCUCCUGGAUUCAGCGGCGGACGGGUGAGUAAUGCCUAGGAAUCUGCCUGGUAGUGGGGGAUAACGUCCGGAAACGGGCGCUAAUACCGCAUACGUCCUGAGGGAGAAAGUGGGGGAUCUUCGGACCUCACGCUAUCAGAUGAGCCUAGGUCGGAUUAGCUAGUUGGUGGGGUAAAGGCCUACCAAGGCGACGAUCCGUAACUGGUCUGAGAGGAUGAUCAGUCACAUUGGAACGGAGACCGGGCCCGACCCCCUCGGGGAGGAAGCAGGGGGGAUUUUUGGAAAAGGGGCAAAAGCUGAACCGAGCAAUCCGGGGGGUGGGAAGAAGGUCUUGGAAUUGUAAAGCACUUUAAGUGGGGAGGAAGGGCAGUAAGUAAAUACCUUGCUGUUUUGACGUUACCAAAAAAAAAAGCCCCGGCAACCUCCGUG